UCCCGUGUGGCUCAGUUGGUAGAGCAUGGUGUUUGCAACACCAGGGUUGUGGGUUCGAUUCCCAAGGGGG
rnacentral:tRNA from 1 species